GCAUAACGCGAAGAACCUUACCCAGGCUUGACAUGCACAGGACGCCGGCAGAGAUGUCGGUUCCCUUGUGGCCUGUGUGCAGGUGGUGCAUGGCUGUCGUCAGCUCGUGUCGUGAGAUGUUGGGUUAAGUCCCGCAACGAGCGCAACCCUUGUUCCAUGUUGCCAGCGCGUAAUGGCGGGGACUCAUGGGAGACUGCCGGGGUCAACUCGGAGGAAGGUGGGGAUGACGUCAAGUCAUCAUGCCCCUUAUGUCCAGGGCUUCACACAUGCUACAAUGGCCGGUACAAAGGGCUGCGAUGCCGUGAGGUUAAGCGAAUCCUUUUAAAGCCGGUCUCAGUUCGGAUCGGGGUCUGCAACUCGACCCCGUGAAGUCGGAGUCGCUAGUAAUCGCAGAUCAGCAACGCUGCGGUGAAUACGUUCCCGGGUCUUGUACACACCG
rnacentral:rRNA from 1 species